rnacentral:rRNA from 1 species
AUUGAACGCUGGCGGCAUGCCUUACACAUGCAAGUCGAACGGUAACAGGUCUUCGGAUGCUGACGAGUGGCGAACGGGUGAGUAAUACAUCGGAACGUGCCUAGUAGUGGGGGAUAACUACUCGAAAGAGUGGCUAAUACCGCAUGAGAUCUACGGAUGAAAGCAGGGGAUCGCAAGACCUUGUGCUACUGGAGCGGCCGAUGGCAGAUUAGGUAGUUGGUGGGAUAAAAGCUUACCAAGCCGACGAUCUGUAGCUGGUCUGAGAGGACGAUCAGCCACACUGGGACUGAGACACGGCCCAGACUCCUACGGGAGGCAGCAGUGGGGAAUUUUGGACAAUGGGCGAAAGCCUGAUCCAGCAAUGCCGCGUGCAGGAUGGAGGCCUUCGGGUUGUAAACUGCUUUUGUACGGAACGAAAAGCCCCGGGUUAAUACCCUGGGGUCAUGACGGUACCGUAAGAAUAAGCACCGGCUAACUACGUGCCAGCCGCCGCAGUAA